AUUGAACGCUGGCGGCAUGCCUUACACAUGCAAGUCGAACGGUAACAGGUCUUCGGACGCUGACGGGUGGCGAACGGGUGAGUAAUACAUCGGAACGUGCCCAGUCGUGGGGGAUAACUACUCGAAAGAGUAGCUAAUACCGCAUACGAUCUGAGGAUGAAAGCGGGGGACCUUCGGGCCUCGCGCGAUUGGAGCGGCCGAUGGCAGAUUAGGUAGUUGGUGGGAUAAAAGCUUACCAAGCCGACGAUCUGUAGCUGGUCUGAGAGGACGACCAGCCACACUGGGACUGAGACACGGCCCAGACUCCUACGGGAGGCAGCAGUGGGGAAUUUUGGACAAUGGGCGAAAGCCUGAUCCAGCAAUGCCGCGUGCAGGAUGAAGGCCUUCGGGUUGUAAACUGCUUUUGUACGGAACGAAAAAGCUUCUCCUAAUACGAGAGGCCCAUGACGGUACCGUAAGAAUAAGCACCGGCUAACUACGUGC
rnacentral:rRNA from 1 species